rnacentral:misc_RNA from 1 species
GUAUUUUAUUACGGCCAUAUCGGCACGAGCACGUUCAACAUUAUAAUCAGCGUAUGUAAAGAGGGAUAUCCAAGAGAGAUCACCACAUGGCAAUCUCUACUCGAAAAACCCUCAGAUGCACAGGUGUGUGGAUAAAGAUUGUUGGAGGCGAGCACAUGCAGCCAGAAGAUAGCUUGCCAGCAUCAACCCCCAUUACAAUUCGUUAAUGAUCCUUCCGCAGGUUCACCUACGGAAA